rnacentral:rRNA from 1 species
CCAGACUCCUACGGGAGGCAGCAGUAGGGAAUCUUCGGCAAUGGACGGAAGUCUGACCGAGCAACGCCGCGUGAGUGAAGAAGGUUUUCGGAUCGUAAAGCUCUGUUGUAAGAGAAGAACGAGUGUGAGAGUGGAAAGUUCACACUGUGACGGUAUCUUACCAGAAAGGGACGGCUAACUACGUGCCAGCAGCCGCGGUAAUACGUAGGUCCCGAGCGUUGUCCGGAUUUAUUGGGCGUAAAGCGAGCGCAGGCGGUUAGAUAAGUCUGAAGUUAAAGGCUGUGGCUUAACCAUAGUACGCUUUGGAAACUGUUUAACUUGAGUGCAAGAGGGGAGAGUGGAAUUCCAUGUGUAGCGGUGAAAUGCGUAGAUAUAUGGAGGAACACCGGUGGCGAAAGCGGCUCUCUGGCUUGUAACUGACGCUGAGGCUCGAAAGCGUGGGGAGCAAACAGGAUUAGAUACCCUGGUAGUCCACGCCGUAAACGAUGAGUGCUAG